rnacentral:rRNA from 1 species
AUGAACGCUGGCGGCGUGCCUCAUCCAUGCAAGUCGCGCGAACGGACGAGAAGCUUGCUUCUCUGAUGUUAGCGGCGGACGGGUGAGUAACACGUGGAUAACCUACCUAUAAGACUGGGAUAACUUCGGGAAACCGGAGCUAAUACCGGAUAAUAUUUUGAACCGCAUGGUUCAAAAGUGAAAGACGGUCUUGCUGUCACUUAUAGAUGGAUCCGCGCUGCAUUAGCUAGUUGGUAAGGUAACGGCUUACCAAGGCAACGAUGCAUAGCCGACCUGAGAGGGUGAUCGGCCACACUGGAACUGAGACACGGUCCAGACUCCUACGGGAGGCAGCAGUAGGGAAUCUUCCGCAAUGGGCGAAAGCCUGACGGAGCAACGCCGCGUGAGUGAUGAAGGUCUUCGGAUCGUAAAACUCUGUUAUUAGGGAAGAACAUAUGUGUAAGUAACUGUGCACAUCUUGACGGUACCUAAUCAGAAAGCCACGGCUAACUACGUG